GCCUGUGGCCUAGUGGGCAAGGUUACAAUCUUAGGAGCACUAGGUCGUAGGUUCAAGCCCAGCUAGGAACA
rnacentral:tRNA from 1 species